CUUUUCCCUAGGAAAAAAAGGGGAAAACAAUGUAAGGAGUAAGAUGUCCUUUGAGGAGACAGUACCUGCCUUUGUUAUAGUCAAACCAAACCCCAUAAUGCUAUCAGGAUUCUUUGCUAGGAAUUGUCUUCCUGUGAAACGAGAGACAAUAUUACAGAACUGCCAGCAUUAAGAAAAAAGACAAUCUCUGACAUCUGGAAGAGCCUGAAAUUUCUGUUUACUCAGAGAUUAUUGUAAUGGCCCAUGUGAUAGUUCAGUUCUGCUCAGUAACCAGCUGUGUCAUUAUGCUAUAUAAAUCACAAAUGGUAACCAGAAGUAAUGUAGAGCAAGGGCUCCCUCCCACCACAAAUAAAUGAACAGGAGAUUUGGGUACCUUCUGUCUCUGCAGUUUUAAGGAGGCUUUCCUGAAAUGUUUAAAUUUUUUAUUUUAUAAAGGGCAUUCUCAAGGAAAGAAGAUAGAAGAUGAGUAGCAGCUUGUCAACACAGGCAAGAGGUACCUAGAGCCUUGUUCUGACAAAUGGAGAAACCAUAUGGGAGAAGUUUUCCCCACACACGUUUUGGCUUGAGCAUAUUCCUCCAGCUUGCCUAUGUCCAGUGGAAGAGAAGCCCUGUAUCUGAUCAUACCAAUGUCAUUACUACAGUUUGCUGUCAUCUGCAAAACUGGAAGAGUUGCAGGCUAGUUCCUCCUCCAGUUCACAGACAGAGAGAUGAAAUAUUACAGGACCCAAGACAAACAUCUGAGAGACUCCACUUGUAACCAAAGUCCAGGUAAGUGUGAACCAUCUGUGUUCUCCAUACCAUUCCCUCUCCUAAGGAAUGCUUUCCCCACUGGACAUGACAAAGCACAGGCAACGUUUUAAGCAAAAAACUUUUUCCUGCAGCACCACAUUGCCCUUAAUCCUGACUUAGCAAUUGGUUACCUGCACAUCAAUUGUGUAGUCUUUCCCAGGCCUCAGGCGGUGAACAUCUGCAUCCCACAUCUCAUUGAAGAGCUUAGAAAGUUCACGAUUAAAGGCCCUCCUGCCAAGAAAUACAGAGGAAUACAUGUAAGGCACAAAAAAAGGCAUGUGCUAUUUCUGCAAGUCACUUCUAGAGUCUUCUAAUGCCACUCCAUAUUCUGGAUAUCAGCCUGGCAUCAGCUUUCUGUUUCUCCCCACAUCUUCCUGUCAGUACUGCUGUAAAAACUACAAUACUUAUGGUCCACGUCCCUUUUUAAUGAAUGCAGGUAAACUGUAAGAAAACCUGAGUCUUCCCUUAGAUUGUCAGACAACAAAGUCUGUGUUGAUAAGUGUUCCUGUGGUUCUUCACUGAAAUAAAAAGGAAGAUGGUGGUGUUUCAUUCCCAAGGAUUCUGUGCACAAACCAGAGGCAAGCAGGAGAUUGUUUCCAGCAUGCAGCAACACUGCCAACAGAACAGGAAGCAAAAAAAUUCUCCCUUAUGAUGCUUUUCUUGCAGCAAUCUUAUAAACUCUUCCCUUCUUCCUUCAAGCAAGAUUCCACACAGAAUGUUUUCCUUUGCCAUGUGAUUAUGCCAGCAUAAAGGUAGUGGUGACAAAGGGUAAGUAAGGCUCUAAAUGCUGUGUCUGCAUGCAAUAAAAAUCCCUUAUGCACUGAUCUCUCAUGCACAUACCUACCCAAACUUCUCCUUCCCUAAUUUUUAAUGGAGUCUUGUCCUGCAUAAUAGGGUACAGUUUUCAGAAGUCUGUCCAUUUGUCUAUCAACAAAAUUUAGGUAGGGUUGUGUGUUGGUUUUGCAUGGCCUGAUUUUUGGUAGCUGGUGGGGACACAGAGGUGGCUUCUGCGAGAAGCUACUGGGAGCUUCUGCUGUGGCCAGCAGAGCCAGUGCCUGGUGGCUCUGAAGAAGGACAUGCUGCUGGCCAAGGCUGGGCCAGUUAGAGGUGAUGGUGAUGAGGCCUGUGUGAUAACAGAUUUGAGAAGAAAAUCAACACAAAUUUGGCACAGUUUUAUUCCCAGCCAGAGAAGAGGAGGAAGUGAGAAUAUGUGAGGGAAACAACAUGGAGACACUGAAGUGAGUGUGGAAGGCGGGGAGGAGGUGCUCCAGGUGCCAGAGCCAAGGUUCCUCUGCAGACUGUGGUGAGACCAUGGUGGAGAAGCUGUGCCCCUGCAGCCCAUGGGGAUCAAUGGGGGAUGCAGAGAUCCACCCACAGACCAUGGGGAUCCAUGGGGGAUGCAGAGAUCCACCCUCAGACCAUGGGGAUCCAUGGGGGAUGCACAGAUCCACCCACAGUGUGGGUGCCCACACUGGAGCAGGUGGAUGCCUGGAGGAAGCUGUGAUCUAGUGGAAGACCUGGUGGAGAGAGAGAGCCUUUGCUUCCAGGCUGGAGCAGCCUGUCCUUGGAGGACUGCACUCCAUGGAAAGAGAGAUUCACUCUGCAGCAGUUUUGGGAGGACUGCUGCUCAUGAGAUUUGGACCCAGAAGUUCAUUGAGAACUGUCUUCCAUGGGAAGGAACCCCACAGUCUCACAGAGGAAGGACUCCUCUUCCUGAAGAGCAGAAGAAGAUCUUGGGUGAUAAACUAACCAAAAACCCCCAUGCCCUGUCUCCCUGCACUUUUUGGUGGGAAGGAGGGAGGGGCUUGGGAGAAAAAUGUGUUUUAAUGUCUUAUUUUGCUUCUCAUUAUCUUCCUCUGACUCUGCUAGUAAUAAAUUAAUUUUUUACUUCUAA